AUGUUGCAGAGCUCCAUCUGCUACAGAUAUAAGUCCAACCAUUUUAUAGUGGUUAUUUGGUUGCGAUGUUGUGUUUGCAUUAGUCGGCUCUUUGCCGACUUACCUCCUGUACAUUUGACUUGUCUGUCAAAUCACUUCUUGGCUAAGCAAAAUUUGCUUAGCCUUUUUUU
rnacentral:other from 1 species